rnacentral:rRNA from 1 species
AAAAUUUAAAUUUAAAAUACUAAAAUAGUAAAUAAAUAUUUAUUGAAACUUAAAUAAUUUGGCGGUAUUUUAGUUCAUUUAGAGGAAUCUGUUUAAUAAUUGAUAUUCCACGAAUAAAUUUACUUAAUUUAUAAUUUUGUAUAUCGUUGUUAUAAAAAUAUUUUUUAAUAAAUUUAAUAUUUGAAAUUUAAUAUAGAAUUUAAAUCAGAUCAAGAUGCAGAUUAUAAUUAAGAAUAUAAUGGAUUACAAUAAAUUUAUUUAAAUGGAUUUUAAUUUGUAAAAAUUAAUUGAAAGUGGAUUUAAAUGUAAUUUUAUUUAAUUUAAUAAAAUGAUUAAAAAUUAAAAUAUGU